CAAGUCGAACGAAGUAGCAAUACUUAGUGGCAGACGGGUGAGUAACAUGUAGGUAUCUUCCCUUUGGUGAGGAAUAACACGAGGAAACUUGUGCUAAUACCUCAUAAGUCUUUACGGAGAAAGCUUUAUGCGCCGAAGGAUGAGCCUGCACUUGAUUAGUUUGUUGGUGGGGUAAUGGCCUACCAAGACUUUGAUCUAUAGCUGAUCUGAGAGGAUGAUCAGCCACAUUGGGACUGAGACACGGCCCAAACUCCUACGGGAGGCAGCAGUAGGGAAUAUUGCACAAUGGAGGAAACUCUGAUGCAGCGAUGCCGCGUGAGUGAAGAAGGCCUUUGGGUUGUAAAGCUCUUUCGUCGGGGAAGAAAAUGACUGUACCCGAAUAAGAAGGUCCGGCUAACUUCGUGCCAGCAGCCGCGGUAAUACGAAGGGACCUAGCGUAGCUCGGAAUUACUGGGCUUAAAGAGUUCGUAGGUGGUUAAAAAAGUUGGUGGUGAAAUCCCAGAGCUUAACUCUGGAACUGCCAUCAAAACUUUUUAGCUAGAGUAUGAUAGAGGAAAGCAGAAUUUCUAGUGUAGAGGUGAAAUUCGUAGAUAUUAGAAAGAAUACCAAUUGCGGAGGCAGCUUUCUGGAUCAUUACUGACACUGAGGAACGAAAGCAUGGGUAGCGAAGAGGAUUAGAUACCCUCGUAGUCCAUGCCGUAAACGAUGUGUGUUAGACGUUGGAAAUUUAUUUUCAGUGUCGCAGCGAAAGCAUUAAACACACCGCCUGGGGAGUACGACCGCAAGGUUAAAACUCAAAUGAAUUGACGGGGACCCGCACAAGUAGUGGAGCAUGUGGUUUAAUUCGAAGAUACGCGCAGAACCUUACCAACACUUGACAUGUUCGUCGCGACUCUAAGAGAUUAGAGUUUUCGGUUCGGCCGGACGAAACACAGGUGCUGCAUGGCUGUCGUCAGCUCGUGUC
rnacentral:rRNA from 1 species